rnacentral:rRNA from 1 species
UUGACCUCGGAUCAGGUAGGGUACC